rnacentral:tRNA from 1 species
UGCUCUAUGGUGUAACGGCAGCACAACAGAUUUUGGUUCUGUUAGAGCAGGUUCGAAUCCUGCUAGAGUAA